GUCCUUUAGAAUUUAAUUUAAGGUCUAACCUGCCCACUGAGUUUUAAAUGGCCGCGGUAUUUUGACCGUGCAAAGGUAGCAUAAUCAUUAGUUUUUUAAUUAAAAGCUGGAAUGAAAGGUUGAAUGAAAAAAUAACUGUCUCUAAAUAAAUAUUUGAAUUUUAUUUUUAAGUUAAAAAGCUUAAAUUUAAUUAAAAGACGAGAAGACCCUAUAGAGUUUAAUAGAAUUAUUAAAAUUAUUUUUUUGGAAUUAUUAUUUUAAUUUUAAAUUUUUAUUUGAUUGGGGUGAUUGAAAAAUUUAUAAAACUUUUUUUAAAAUUUUACAUUUAUAAAUGAAUAUAUGAUCCAUUAUUUAUGAUUAAAAGAUUAAAUUACCUUAGGGAUAACAGCGUAAUUUUUUUUUAGAGUUCUUAUUGAAAAAAAAGUUUGCGACCUCGAUGUUGGAUUAAAAUUAAAUUUUGGUGUAGAAGCUAAAAAUUUUAGGUCUGUUCGACCUUUAAAAUUUUACAUGAUCUGAGUUUAAACCGGUGUGAGCCAGGUUGGUUUCUAUCUUUAAUAAAAAAUAUAUUUUAGUACGAAAGGACCAAAUAUUUAAUUAAAAAUUUAUAAUAAGAAUAUUAAUGUUAUUUUGGCAGAUUAGUGUAAUAGAUUUAGAAUCUUUAAAUGUAUAUUUUUAUACAAAUAAUACUUGUUAUUAAAGGAUUUAUUUUUAAUAUUGAUUUCUAGAUUGGUCUUAAUUAUUUGUGUGAUAGUAGGAGUAGCAUUUUUAACAUUAAUAGAACGUAAAG
rnacentral:rRNA from 1 species